rnacentral:tRNA from 1 species
GCCUGAUAGCUCAAUGGCAGAGCGGCCAAAACGGCAGAAACGGGUUCGAUUCCCGUUCAGGCUCACCA